GGACCCUCUUACUCAAAGGGUGUAGGCCUAGUAUGAACCACACGGGGUCGCAUCUCAAAAUGGUCCAGUCGGCUCGUCGUCGUUAUACUCACAUCGGCGACGUAUAAAGGACAUGCCAAUUCCAGGUUACAUAUACUGCCUUUUCAUAGUAGGUUUUAAAAUGGCAGAGAAAUAUGGGGUAAAAGUAAAUAAAAAAUUGACUUGCAUAAACCAAAUUGUUUGACAAACUAAAAGGAUGAGGGAGGUUUUUUUUUUUUCUUCCAAAUCAUUCCAUAAAUGAAGCAGUUACAAGCAUUGGUCAUCUGCUGCUCAAAUGUGACCGAGUCUUCCUUGGAGUGAACAGCCAGAAUUGAUUCCUUUUAACAAGACAGUAGGGGAUUGAUUUAUAUAGGUAGGCGCGCUGGUGUCACCUGUUAAUUAAUAAAUUAGCACACAUCCAAUAUCAUCUAAUGUCAACCAAUCAACGGAAUGGAAAGAUAUAACGUGUUUUUGAUCAUGCCGCCGUUCUGAAAUGAGAGAGACACAGACAGAUAAAAUCACUAAUUGACUCGUUCAAUAUUAGGUUGGUGACAACGUUCAAAGAAACGUUUAUCAAACACGUUGCAACAAUGUUCCAAUGUAACCCAUAAUAUAUAAACACACAAGAUACCUUUCAAUGUUGGGGCGUUUUUUAAAUAUUUUUUUCAGGUGAUGUGCAGUGUCCUCCAAUCACAAGACGUCUUUUUCCGCCGUAGGGCAAUACAGACGUGAGUUUCAUCCAAUCAAAUCUCUCGACCGCGAUACGCUCGGACGCGUCGCGUUUUCGUCGCUGUAGCUACGCGCUAGGCAAGACAAGCAGUAUGGCGGAAGAAGAGAGUGAAUUUGAGUUAGAAGGUUUUAAAAAAGAAUUGGAGAGUUUAUUUGUCAGUUGUUCAAGUGAAGAAUACGGACUUCAAAGCAAGCUAUAUUGUGUACGGUUCUGUAAGUUGGUGGAGGUGUAUUCAGGACGAUGGCAGGUACCCUUGCCACAGCUGCAGGUGCUCCAGACUGCUCUAUGUUCCUUUGUCCAAGCCUCGGCCUGCUUCCCGUCUGACUGUGAACAUGUAUGCUACACACUGAGUAGCCUUGCCCUGAGUGCUUUUGAGCUCUUGCUGUUUUUGAACAGAAAUAAGAUCCUGCAGGAUCCCUUGAAAAAAAUCCUUGAUUCGUU